AACUGGGACUGAGAGAAGAGCCCUGUGGAUUCUUGGUUGCUUAGAUUUUAAACCCAGGAUAUUCUUCCCUGGGGAGUUUUUAAUUCCCACUAAAGCUCUUUGUAUGAGUUGGAGUGCUUUUUGGGCAAAUAACAGAAGGCUCAACCAAAAUGUCCAAAACCAAAGAGGGCUUAUUAUCCCACAAAACAGGAUGCCAGUGUCAGGCCACUCAGGACUGGUUACUUGAGCAGCUCAGAGAUGGAGGUGAGAACCCAGCCUAAUUCACCUGUUUGGCCUCUUGUGCUGGUUCCCCUCAGGCCCCAGGGUGGCUGCCCGAGUUCCUGUACUGACUUUUGGUGUAUUUACUUUCAGAGUUUUAGAAUUAAGACUCUCAUCCUCAGAAACCUUCCUAGCAGAUUUGCCCUGUCUGUCCGUGCCCAGUGUGGGCCCUAGAGGGGAACAAAAUUACUUUGGUACAUUUUGAUGAGUCAAGAUUCUCUCCUGUUGCUGGUGAGGGGACCACAUCUCAUCACCUGGCCCCAAGAGACAGAACCUCCUCUGAAUACACCAGAAAAUAAAGAAUAUCUUGCAGAAAUUAUGUUCAAAUUAUUUAAUGUACCGGGACUCUACAUUGCAGUUCAGGUAAGGACAAGUGACUUUCAUGAUUCCCAAGUGACCUUAGUUGUCUAAUGUGGAAGAAAUGGUGAUUCUAGAGGCCUCUGUAAGAUUGUGUGAUGUGGUUUCCUUUCCCAUGCACUCAAGUGCACAUGAACUCAUCCCAUUCAGGUCUGAGCUCAAACACUGUACAGAGCAAUUUCUGUGAUUUAUGUUUUUACUGCUGGUGUAGAGUUUGUCCAGCUUUUGUCUGUUUACAUUCAUUAAAAUCUAAGGUAUCCUCAGGAAGACAAGAUCAAGAUAUAGGUGUGGUUCUUUGGCUAUUUUUACUUCUGAUCAUAAAAAAGAAAAUAUACUAUAGAAUCUGUUAAAACAAAACAAAAUGAAACAAAAUAAAUCUUUCAAGGGUUUCCCUUUGUGGAUCUGAGCUCCUGUGGUUCCAUGAGUUUGCAGAACUUCCCCUGAAGCUGCUUGUUCUUCGUGGGGGGGGGUUUGUUGUUUUUAGGUGUAAUGUAUCUGCCUCUAUAUAAGGGAAUUGACUGAAAUUUGGGGGAAUAAAUGAUAAAAUUGUUUUCCAAAAUGCUUCCUGCAUAUUCUAUUCCCUUACUUGUAGGAAAAAAGAGGAGGAGUUGCAUAGAUGUUUAACUUGGAAGAUUCCACAUGCUGUGUCCUCUGUGUGGUGAUUCUCAGUAGACAGUGAUGUCUUAAAGGCUCCGAAAAUGCCUACAUUAGGAAACUCUGUUUAUUCCACCACUUCCAAAUUUAACCAGAAAUAUUCCCCCACCCCUAAGCUGUUUCUGUUCCAUGGAGUAGGAGACACUUCAGGAAACACUGGCCCAGUGGUUCUCAAAGUGAUCUAUGCAGCAAGGUCUCCUCAAAAGUGUGUUUUUCAAAAUACACAUUCUCAGAAUUUAUAUCAGACCACGGGUUUCCAGCCUCAAAAUUUUGGAUCGGGCAGUCCUCAGGGGAGGAGAGGGUACGGAGCUGUGUGUUGGAUGUCUAGCAGCAUCUCUGGUCUUGACCCACCAGGGGAAGCACCACCACCAGCCUCCCCUCCCUCAAGUGUGACAGCGAGAAAUGGCACCAGGUAUUGCCAGGUGCUCCUUGGGGGCAAAAUUGCCCCUGGUUGAGAACCACUAUCCUGGUUCUGCCAGAUGAGAAUUUCUGGAUGACAGGCCCAGUAUUUUGUCUUUCUAAAGUCCCCACAAGUAGUCUUAUUGCAAUCCAUCUGUGGACCCACACUGGGAACCAGUGGAUUAGAAAUUAAAACCUCCUGAUUCCACAAUAAAUUUCCUUUCUCUCUGGCUUUUCUUUGCAAAGCUUUGAUUUAUCUUACUGAGAAGUUGACUCCUCCAGAUUAAGUGCACAGAAUUUACAUGUUAGUUGUCCACUUUGGAAUUUGGAUUUGGGAGGAAGAUGGAAGGUAGGGAAGGGAAAGGUCAUUCAGACUCAGUAAGAAAGAAAGGGCUUAUUGCUCCAACCUGAAGAUAGGCUUGUGGAACACUUGAGAAAGUCCCCAUGCUGAUGGUCUCUGUGGUAUUUGUGAAGGCAGUGCUGGCCUUAGCUGUGUAGUGGACAUCAUGACAAGUUGGUGAACACACAUUAACAGGAAUCAUCAUUGACAGCAGGGAUGGGGUCACUCACACUAUCCCAAUGGUCAGCAGGGCACCGAGUUCUGCUCUGUCUGUGGGCCUAACCUGAUUUGAGGUGAAGGAAGCAGUGAAAGAAAAAACCCUUCUGUUAAUUAAAGCACCACUUUUGAAGACAUACCUGUACUUAGCAAAGGUAACAAGAGCCUUUAAACACAGUUGUGUGAGAAAGUGGAAGAUGCCUAGUGUCUGUGGCACUGGCAGUUGGAAAUUUGCAGUAGCAGAUUUGUGCAGUCUGGUGUCAGCAGUCGUCUGAUGUCCCGGGGCUCUGCUUGGCCCCGGUGUCACUUUGCCAGGGGGGCUUUCCUGACUUUCAUUCUGAACUGUAAUCUGGAUAUCAGUGGGUGCGGCACAUGAACAUUUGGAGGAUGAUUUUGUUUUCUGUGACAAUCCUCUGGAGAGGAUUUGUUUCUUGCUUUUUAAAAAUUUUUUAAGAGCCAAGAAGGAGAGAUUGUUCACCUUGACUUGUAGGAUGCUCUGCAAUGUCACUUUUUGGUUUUAAUUUUCAAAAUAUAACAGAAGUGAUUUCUAAUUCAGGCUUCAAGAGACUAUAUAUAUAUAUAUAUAUAUAUAUAUAUAUAUAUAUAUAUAUAUAUUUGGUACAAUGGACUAGUUAAAUGAAUUAUUUAAAGGUUUUUUUUUAAUAAAUUGAAGCUAUCUGGAGGGGGUUACAUUGGGAAUUCAGACCUGCCUUUCCUUCUCCACGUCCCUUCUUGGAGGCAACCCCUGAUACUAAUGUUUGUUAUUUUGUGUAUUACAAGUAUCUUUUGUGCAAAUAUAGGUUUGUGUGUUUAUGUGCUAAGCUCCUUUUAAAAAUGCAAUAAAUGAAUCACUAUGCUAUACACUGGAAACUAACAGAAUUUUGUAAAUCAACUAAGACAAAUUUAAAAAAUGCAAACUAGUUUUCUUUUAAAAAACAAUUCAUUUAUUUCAUUUAAAAAUAGUCACUGUUUUAUUUCAGGACGUUGCAGAGAUGAUGUACUAAUAUGCUGGUGCUUUAAUACCUCAAAGUUCAGAAAUCACUGCAGGGGGAGGCUGAUGUGUCUACAGUCAGGAGGAAAAAGCCAAAUCUUUCCCCUCUGUCAUUGCACCCUGCCAGUGUCCCCUUUGCCCGGGGGUGAGGAGAGGCAGGAGGCCUGCAGAGCAUGCUCUGUGCUCGCAGCCCCUUCAUCCAGUCUCGGAACACUGCCCCCUCCUGGGUGUGAGGUGUUUAGGUGCCACUUGCUGUGUGGCCCUGCCUGGCUCCUCUCUGAGGUCACGUCCUCAGAGGUCAGUGCAGGCCAAGGUCAGGGCCUGUGCCUGUGGGUCUGCUUCCUGGCCUCCCCUGUGCAUCUGAAACAAGUUUCACACUACGUGCAGGCCCACAGAGAAAGUUGUUGUUCAAAUUUUUCUCUGUUUCUUAAUGCAGUUUUUUCCCCCUAUUUAUAAAAAUUACAUUUACUGUACAAAAUUUAGGUAAAAUGGAGAAAUGUAAAGAAGAAAAUAGAAUGACCCUCAAACCUGCCCAUAGGACUGUGCCACACUUUUUUGGUAUAGUCUACUGAGCUCUUUUUCUUAGACAAACAACACACAUUUUAAGCACAGUUGGGAUACCCUCCAUCUGAUUUCAUGUUCUAAUUGUACAAUGUGCUCCUGAGGUUGUAUUUUGCAUAUUGACUUAUCCCUGAUGUAUCUUUAUGGUUAAAUACUCUGUGGAAAGAUAUUUAGUAACUACCUGACAGCCCAUCAUGUGGGUGUAGCACAACUCACUUACUUGUUUUCCUACCAUUGGCUGUGGUUUGUUUUAAUAUAUUAAUCUGUGAUGAAGCUGAUACUCAAAAUGGGUUGAAUUAAUUUUAGAAAAUGUUAUAUGUAAUGUAUUGAGUAUAGAAAUUGUGAAUAGUUUCUGUUUGUGAGAGCUACUGUUCUUAUGAUUUUUUUAUUUUAAUAAUGUGUACAUAUCAUUUAUCUUGAUCUUAAAUAUUUUACAAUUGGCUUGGGCUCCUGAGAAAGGCUACACACUCUCUCACUUCUAGAAGUUGGGCACCUCAGAAGACAUAAGAGGAAUUCAGUCACCUGUUCUUGCAACUUCAGUGGUAACUGUGCUUGUACAUAGUGGAACUGAUCCAUCUGUCAGAUGGAUGAGGAUUUGCUCCAGCCUUCUGUCUCCAUGAGUGUGUGACAAGCAGCCAGUGCCAUCAGGGAGCUCAGAGUGCCUCCUCUACCUGGUGCAGGUGGGGACAUUGUCCACUCUGCACAGCUACUCCCACCAGCAUGAGCUGGACCUUCCCAGCCUGUGGCCUGCAUGUUGAGUGGCACCCCAGGGGGCUGGUGAGGACCUGGGACCACACAGCAGCUCCUGGCCCUCUCCUGCUGGUGAUGGCUGACAGCCUGGUCACUGGUCCGGGAGGGCAGCUGGGUGGAAGGUUAGGUAAUUGGAAGCUGCAUCAAACACAUCCCUAUUGCAGGUAGAGAUAUGUAUUUCAUUCAACACCUGCCAAGGGAGAGGGAGGUGGGAAUCCCUCCUGAGCAACCACUGGAGACCGCAAAGGCCAUUAAGGAGAGGUACUGUCACAUUUGCCCCAAUAUAGUCAAGAAGUUUGCCAAGUAUGACGUGGAUCAGCGGAAGUGGAUCAAACAGCAAACAGGGAACAAUGCCAUAAGCCAGAAGAAAUUCAUUAUCGAUGUUGGCUAGGAAAGUUUCCCAGGCCCUGAAAUUUUCUUUCACCCAGAGAUACUGAUUAACAUGCCAAGUAUAAUGCCUGGCCCAGGAAGCUCAGGAGAUGAAUCAAAUAACUUGACCAUGAAGGAGCACUGAGGAGGAGGCAGAGAUGAUCUCUGGCAUGGGUAUUAUAAUAGGCAUACAACAAGGCUCAGAGGCAGUGCAGAGGAAGAAAUGAGGAGCUCUUGGAAGUGGUGGGGAGAGGGCAAGUGUUUGGAAUGUUCUUUAAGAAUAGGUACACUUGAACUGACUCUUAAAAGAUGGGCAGGUGUUUGACAAGGCAAUGUGAACACCACAGAUAGAGGGGAGUGAAGCCACCUGGAAUCCUUCCUCUCUGCACUGCAAACAGUUUGGGAUGGUUGGUGCAUAUGGCACGUGACUGUGCACAUUCUGUCCAUGUUGUGUGCACUGAUGAUUUAGAAAUGACAGAAGGGCAAGUGGUGAAGCUGGAGAGUUGCAGAAGCACACAGAGGAAGACUGCCUUACAUGGUUCUUCAAGGUAUUUGGACAUGAUCCUGUGGCAAAGAAAGUCAUUACAUGAUUAAUAAACUAAGCAGUAUUGGUGUGGAA